AAUUGAUAGUUACACUAUGAAUGAUGAUCUUUCGGUAUGUUCGAUGGCACUUGAUAUGAAAAGAAAAUAUCAAAAGUAUUGGGGGGAUGUUACUAAGUUAAACCAUUUUUUGUUCAUUGCUGUGGUUCUUGACCCAAGAAGGAAAUGGAAAUAUAUUGAAUGGCUUAUUGGAGCAAAAUAUGUAGAUGGGUGUGUCCGUAAAAGUCUUGACUCCAACUUACGUUCUUUGUUUGAUUUUUAUAAAAAGUCUAUGCUUCAAAAGGAGAAAGACUUUGAGGUAUCAUCGGCAUCAAUGGAGAAAGAGAGUUCUAAUUCUAGCCAAGUAACGGACAUUGACGAAAUAAUGACUAAGCGGUUUGAAAUGGCCAUGGGAAGUUCACAAACAUCUUUGACAAAAAGUGAGUUAGAUAAGUAUCUUGAUGAGGAUUGAGAGCCUAUGGAUCCACGGUUUGACAUAUUAAAAUGGUGGAAAGUUCAACAAUGUCGGUAUCCCAUUCUUGCUAAAAUGGCUCGAGAUAUUCUCGCCAUUCCGGUUUCUACGGUUGCCUCCGAGUCGACUUUUAGCACCGGUGGACGGGUGCUUGCUUCGUUCCGAACUUCGUUAACCCCAAGAAUGGUUGAAGCGUUGGUAUGUGCACAAGAUUGGUUGCGUGCUUCUAAUAACAAGAUUUUUAUCGAAGACACCAUUCUUGACAUCGAGAGCUUGGAAGAAGGUAUGAAGGAGUUAGCCUUGGAACAACCCACCAUAAUCAUUGAUGAAACGGUUGAUGAAGGUUAUGAGGCAUCCGAAACGGCGUAAGGUUAUGGUCUUAUGGGGAUUUUUGUGAUGAUAUUCUACUACUUGGAAAGUUGGUUUAUGUCGUAGAUUUCAAUUGCUAGCUUGGAGGUUUGGAAGAUGGAUUAUCGAACGCGGAAGAUUAUGUCUUUAUUUUGAAACAAUGAAUUGCGUUUAUUAUUAUGUCGUUAUUAGUUAUUAUGUUACGAUGAAGUGUGUUUAUUUGCCUUUUUUUGAACAUCUUG